rnacentral:rRNA from 1 species
UGAGGAAUAUUGCGCAAUGGGGGAAACCCUGACGCAGCGACGCCGCGUGAGUGAUGAAGGCCUUCGGGUUGUAAAGCUCUGUCAGAGGGAAAGAAAGGGGUGUCGGAAUAAUACCCGACACCAUUGACGGUACCCUCGGAGGAAGCACCGGCUAACUCCGUGCCAGCAGCCGCGGUAAUACGGAGGGUGCAAGUGUUAUUCGGAAUCACUGGGCGUAAAGAGCACGUAGGCGGAUAGGUAAGUCAGAUGUGAAAUCCCGGGGCUUAACUUCGGAACUGCAUUUGAUACUGCCUGUCUUGAGUAUGGUAGAGGGGGAUGGAAUUCCCGGUGUAGAGGUGAAAUUCGUAGAUAUCGGGAGGAACACCAGAGGCGAAGGCGAUCCCCUGGGCCAUUACUGACGCUGAGGUGCGAAAGCGUGGGGAGCAAACA